GUCCAUGACGGGAAGUGAAACGAAAGGAAACGCGUGGCGAUGAGAAGGAAAGAGAGUUUAUUAGGGUUCGCGUUCUUCUCUCCUCCGCUUUCUCCACCUCUCUUCUCCUCGUUGCGAUCUAGUCGCGAGGAACCGGGAGGGGAUCUCUCAAGAAGCUAGUCGCCUGGUCUCUCGCCCUUCGGAAAAACCGGCAGGUGGCAGCAGCUUCACGGGUACCAGGUCUAUACCCCUAGGCGUUUCAUCCUGCCGCUCUCCUUUUAUUGGCCUUCUCCUAAUUUCAAGAUCGGAAGCUUUAAAUGCUUGGGAACCUGGUCUAGAGCAGGGCGCUGAAUUGAUGAGCGAGCAUGGGAUAAAUGUGCCAAAGGGAAUCGCUGCUUCAUCUGUUGAAGAGGCUAAAGAUGUUGCUCGAUCUGUUUUCCCAACGAGAAAGAGAGAUUGUGGUCAAAAGCCAAAUCCUUGCUGGUGGCAGAGGCUUGGGAGCCUUCAAAAGUGGACUCAAGGGUGGAGAAGGUUGCCGCUGCCAAUGCCGAUCUGAGUUAUAUUGGUCUUGAUGGAGAAAUCGGGUGCAUGGUCAAUGGUGGAUUGGUAAUGACUAUGAUGGAUAUAAUACGACCGCAAGGUGGUACACCUGCUAGUUUACUUGAUGUUGGUGGCGAUGCAUCGGAAAGCCAGGUUCAGAUUAUAAUAUAAUGACUGGUGUUUGUAUUUGUUGAAUUAAAUUCUUAAAUGUAUACUCUUGAAUUUUCUUUUAAUGUAUACUCUUCGUUAAGUAGAUGAUUGCAAA